rnacentral:rRNA from 1 species
UAACACGUGGGUGACCUGCCCUGCAGUGGGGAAUAACGCUGCGAAAGCAGCGCUAAUACCGCAUAACCUCGGUCCGUCAGGGGCCGAGGAAAGCUCCGGCGCUGCAGGAGGGGCCUGCGCCCGAUUAGCUAGUCGGUGGGGUAAUGGCCUACCGAGGCGACCAUCGGUAGCUGGUCUGAGAGGAUGACCAGCCACACUGGGACUGAGACACGGCCCAG